GCCUGGUUAGCUCAAUCGGUAGAGCGUUUGACUCUUAAGUUAGUUAGACAUCAAAAGGUUGCGGGUUCGACCCCCGCAUCGGGCU
rfam:Spathaspora passalidarum NRRL Y-27907 unplaced genomic scaffold SPAPAscaffold_3, whole genome shotgun sequence.